UUAAAUUAAAAUAAAUAGAAAGAAGUAUACAAAGAAAAUUAUAAACUAGUUGAACGUGAAGAUGCAAACGUCUUCUGCAACUUCUUCAUCUCACUCUCUCAAAUCUCAACAAAAGGGGGUUUCUUCUAAAUCUUAUUAAAAACUAUCCAUCCAAUUCCCUCAAUUCUCUUAAAUCUACCCUCAAAUUGCAAAUGUUAAUCGAGACCCAAAGCCCUAAUCAGAAAUUGUAUACUCAAAUCAGGUAUGUGUUUGAAUCCAAAAUUCUUUUUGGUGGUACAUGCAAUUUAACCUUUAUAUUCUCUGACCCAAUUGAAAAUAUAAGGAAUCUGAAUAAUUUUUGUUGAACAGCCAUAACCCUUCUCAAUGUCGACUACUCUUUCAUUGGGUAAGUUGAAAGCUUCUUUAAAUAUUUUUUUAGAGCUUUUGGUUAUUACAUGUUUGGUAUUCCAGUGAAAAUCCUGACCGCUUAUCUCUCUCUCUCUUCUUUGAAAAUACAGAUCUAGAGUUGAAGAUGGAAGAAGAACAAGCGAUUUGGCUUCAAAAAUGUAAAAAGAACGAUUCAGAAAUACGAAGCGGCCUUGUGUUGUUUCCGCUCCUUUACUCUAAGAUUCGUAAGUUGCAGAAGGUUCUUUUGUUUUUGUAUUUCUUGCCUUCUAAUAUUUUAUUUCUCAUCAUUUCCUCAUUUAUACUUGUAUAUGUACAUAUAGUUAUGAUAUGGAAGUUAAUUUCCUGUUUUAUUUGUGUUCUUUAGCUAUCUUGCAUUGAUUUGGGUUGAAUCCGACGAGCAUAAUGAGAUUUGACUUUUCUUCAUCUAGUCUUCUUUUCAAUUUUAUUGUUGUGCUUUAAGAUUAUGCAAAGGGUAAUAAGAAUUAAAGGAUGAGGAAGAAAAUGUUAUAGUUUUUGGUAAAGUAAGUAAUUGAAUUGUAGAAUGUUUUCUCUGUUCUUUAAUCUUUCUCUUUUCUAUAGAUUUCUGUUAUAGAAUAAUUUCAGUGGCUCGAGAGGAAAACUUUUGGAUCUUUAAUGAUGUAUUGGAGACGUAUUAUACUCCAUAAGUGCUUCUUUGAGUUUCCGACCUGGCUAAACUCGCCAUAGGUUUUCUAUAUUCCUCAUUAUCCCCAACUUUUCCAUUCAGAGAAAAUGUAAAAUGCCAAGAAAAAAUAAACUCUAUUACUUAGUUUUUAACAGUUGGAAUGGAGACUGGGAGUUCUUGGAUUUCUUAUUCCCUUUUUCGUUUGGUAUCUGAUUGACUUUCUUUCCGUUGCUAAUGGUAUUUUCACUAAAAGUAGUUCAAUUCUUGUUUCCUGUAAGUGGUUCAGAUUAAGGUGGUUAUUGGCCUAGUAUAAUCUGAUUCAUAAAAUCUUUCUCAUUGCCUUGAAGAAAUGCAAUGAAUAAGUUGUUGAACCUUGGGGUGGUAUUACUUUAUAUGUUCUUUACCUAUGUAAUAGUUACUUUAUAUUUGUAGAUGAUAGAACUUAUGCCAUAAAGAAGAAUCUUAUUUAUAAUUAUGAAUGAUCAGAGUUGGUGAAAGAGGAGAUCCUUGUUCCAUCUUAAUUAUAAUUAUGAGUAACAAUUUUCUGAAUAUAAUUGUUAUUCAUAAGUGUACAUAUAGGUUUUUGAAUUACUCAAUUUUCUUUUUUAGAAAAGUAAUGCUUUCAACCAGUAGUUGGCUAAUUUUCCCAUACCUACUGAUACUAUUGUGAAAGCAUUCUCUCUUUUUUGUGAAGUAUAUCUAACUGCUUAUCUAUCCUGAAUAAUGUCAAACAAUUAGUAUUGAGGCGCAAAGAAUUUUUGCAACAUUGCCUGAAAAGUGAAUGUUUGUACACGUUUUUAGCACCUUGAGUAAAUUAUAAGACUUUAAUAGUCUUAAAAUUUUCACUUAGAUAUUAUUCCAAAAAUAUCCAUGUCAGAUCUGGUGAAAAUCUCAUAAGAUACAUCAUGUCGGGGAGCAAGUUUCACAAUAUAUAUAUAGCGCAAAUAGACUGCUAGGUUAUUCACCUAGUACUAGUAGUUUUUAUAUUAUACAUAUUAAAUCCCAAAACGGGUCGACGUUACACAAUGUUCAAGUGCAACCAACAAAAAUAAAAAACACAUAAAAAGAAAGCCAACGGCUAAUGCUACCAAAUAUAAUGUAGCAGUAGCGUGUAAAUAGCAAACAAAGAAAAUCUACUAAUUUGAAACAUCCAAUUGUUGCUGAAGGCAAUGAAUUUACACACCACUUGCAACCAAAUAGUUGUAGCACCUACAAAGCUCUCACCAGGCGCCAUUUUUUUCAAUCCAAGAGGAGUAGGUAUGCAUAAUUCACAAGUGUUAAAGCAAAUCAAAUUGGACAUUUUAACUUUUUGGUAUGAAGAAUUCUAAGUAGUAGAAUCUGCAGUAAUUUAUUUUCCAAAAAAGAGCAUUGCUUGAACAUAUUUUGAAAAAAUAGUAUGCUGAUAGUUCCCAAUUGAGCAUUCGAAUAUCAGUUGCAUCAGUAGAAGUUGUAGAAGCCGACUUGAAUCCUUCCAUAUAGUGUUGCAUCAACCAUAUGUUGAGCGUUAAAUAAUGCUAAUACCACUUGUGUUGCAACAACUCCAAACAGAGAGAGUAAAGUCUUACAAUACAACCAAAUUGUAUAUGUUAUGGCAUCAGGAGAGGAGCAGUACUAUCCUCACUUCAGUUGCAUCAUAAAAUCGGUUGAGCAGCCUAACAGAAUCAGUAGCAACAGAAUAAGAAGCAGAACAGAACAUAGUAUAACUCGAGCAGCAGAGCACAAUAUCCCUGUGUUUUCUUGUUCCUUGUUGCAUUCUUACGUGCACUGCUAACUAAAUAAAAGUACAUAUGUGGCCUCUACAAUAUCUGUUGUCUUUCAGUUUUGACUCGCCAUCAUUAUCUUCGACAUUACCAGUAGAUAGAUUUAUUGAUGAAUGUUUCAGUCCAGCAGAUGCUCUGUGUGUUUAUCAGACAGAAUAUAGCCAAAGCUUGACAAAGACGAUAACACGUGCACUGUUAACUGGAUAACACAACACCUGAUUGCAGUGAUGAGAUCUGUUUGCUUUCAGAACUCGCCAUCAUUAUCUUUAACUUUAUCAGCAGCCAGAUCUGUUGACCUACUCCUGGAGUUCCACUUGUAAGUAUUGUGUCCUAUCUUUACUUGUUUGAUUGCAGUAGCAUUAUACAUAGUUAGCUUGCCCCUCCUGCUUUAUGAUCAUUGUCCAGACACUAUAAGGAUCCCUCAAGUUGAGCAUAGGAAUGCUAAUACCAUUGGGUAGACCCUUACAUAAUAUGGAUUAUCAUCAUUGGCAGAAGUGCAGAAGUUGAAAAAACAGCUGCAACUAGCUUCAAUCUGGAGGUUUUCUCCUGAUAGUUCUAAUCCUUAACAUAAGAGUUCUUGACUUAUCAAGGUUGAGUAGUGUCCUUUCUUUCCUUGGCAAUUCUGUGAAUGAGUUGAAUGUAAUUGUACCUGCAAAAAAGAAUGCUACAUUAGCAAAAUAAUUCGACAUUGUGUUACCUUUCCUUAGGACAUGUUGAAAUAGCACAUUGAAUUGCUCCUUCAUUUUCUUGAUCUUCUUCACCUCCUUUCCUAUGCACCAUGGAGCUUUCCAUUCUCCCUCUAUGAUUCUCUUCAUUACUAGUGAAUCGGUCUCUGUAAUUAAAGGGUGUAUUUGCUGGUUAACACAAAAAGUCAAACCCUCUAAAAUUGCUUUUACUUCUGCCACAAUAUUAGAACUUUCUCAUGUCCUCUCUGCCUUAGCAUAUACCAAAUCUCCAUGACUGUUCCUCACACAGAAGCCGUAAGAGCUUGGUCCUAGAUUGCCUUUUGAUGCACCAUAAGUGUUACAUUUGAACCAUCCUUUGUACUUCUCCAUCUGGCGGUUUCCGUUUGAAUUUAAUAAACUAUAGUUGGAAGAGCACCUAUUAGAAGAAGAAAUCGAAAGAGAGCAUUGUGAAACUAGGACAAACUUGGAAUGUAAAACAUGACUCAUUUUAAACCAUAAACUCAGGAAUUAUUUCAAAUGUUAAUAUUGUCAAACUAUACUUCCAUCAAUGUCACUAAAUAUGGUAGUGAGGAUGUUUGUUCUUUUACCAGGAGUAUGAUUAAGUGAAUAAUCAAAAAGAGAAAGCUUUAAUUCUUUAUAUUUACCAUCAGUUGUUGAUAUGUGCUGAUCAAUUUUAAUAGUUUGGGCAGCUGCACAUGAAAUAAAGUGAUUUUAUUCAUCAUUGUUAUUGUGAAUUUCUUAAAAUAUAGUGACGAUUUUUGAAAAGUCCCUGAAUUUCUUUUGUAGUGCAAAAGAUAAUAAUGUGCCUUUGUAUGGAAUAGUACAACACGAUCCGCACUUGGAGAUCCCUGAAUUUCUUUUGUAGGUAGUAACCAAUCUGUCCAGUGUGUGCAAAAGAUAAUGUGUAUGGAAUAGUACAACACGAUCCGCACUUGGAGAGCAACCAAUAGUAUUCUCUUGUGAGAGUUUCUUAUUGCAUUCUGUGGUCAUAUUAUUCAAGAUGACAUGGUAGUAGCCAAGGAGAAGCUUGAAGACAUUUUAUUUUUGUUGCUUCUUUGCUUUUGUUUUUUUCCUCGGGGCAUUUCAGGUUUAUGGACAAUUCCUAUAUGUUCUGAAUUUUAAUUAGAAGUUUGUUGAUCUUUUUGUAUAAAAGACUUAAUGGUGUCUCUUUUUACAUUAAUGAGUUGCUCUAAUACACUUAGUGUAAUAUUGUUGCUGCUUAAUUAUUUUUUUUAAAAAUAAAUUCUUCUGGAAAAAUA
rnacentral:lncRNA from 1 species